rnacentral:rRNA from 1 species
AACGAACGCUGGCGGCAUGCCUAACACAUGCAAGUCGAGCGAGACCUUCGGGUCUAGUGGCGCACGGGUGCGUAACGCGUGGGAACCUGCCCUUAGGUUCGGAAUAACUCCCCGAAAGGGGUGCUAAUACCGGAUAAUGUCUUCGGACCAAAGAUUUAUCGCCUUUGGAUGGGCACGCGUUGGAUUAGCUAGUUGGUAGGGUAAAAGCCUACCAAGGCGACGAUCCAUAGCUGGUCUGAGAGGAUGAUAAGCCACACUGGGACUGGGACACGGCCCAGACUCCUACGGGAGGCAGGAGUGGCGAAUAUUGGACAAUCGGCGAAAGCCUGAUCCAGCAAUGCCGCGUGAGUGAUGAAGUCCUGAGGGAUGUAAAGCUCUUUUACCCGGGAUGAUAAUGACAGUACCGAGAGAAUAAGCUCCGGCUAACUCCGUG